GACGAAGGUGGCGAGCGUUGUUCGGAAUCACUGGGCAUAAAGCGCACGUAGGCGGCGACGUAAGUUGGGUGUGAAAUCCCCCGGCCCAACCGGGGAACUGCGCCCAGUACUGCGUUGCUUGAGGAUCCAAGGGGUGCAUGGAAUUCCCGGUGGAGCGGUGAAAUGCGUUGAUAUCGGGAGGAACUCCGGCGGCGAAAGCGGUGCACUGGUGGAUUACUGACGCUGAGGUGCGAAAGCCAGGGGAGCGAACGGG
rnacentral:rRNA from 1 species